rnacentral:rRNA from 1 species
UACGUAGGUGGCGAGCGUUGUCCGGAUUUAUUGGGUUUAAAGGGCGCGUAGGCGGCUUUGUAAGUCAGUGGUGAAAUACUCUAGCUUAACUAGAGGGGUGCCAUUGAUACUGCGGAGCUUGAGUACAGAUGAGGUAGGCGGAAUUGACGGUGUAGCGGUGAAAUGCAUAGAUAUCGUCAAGAACACCGAUAGCGAAGGCAGCUUACUGGGCUGUAACUGACGCUGAGGCACGAAAGUGUGGGGAUCAAACAGG